GAUUACCUGGUAAAUUAUGGCAAUGGUGAAUCCCCCUAUGCGGUGGGGCGUUCCAGUCAACUGCUGUCUGCAGGUAUGCGCGCGGCUUUACUGACCAGGGGUAAAGUCACCGGGAGGCACCCGGCACCAUGACAAUAACUACAACCAGUUUGAAAUUCCUUGAGAGCCUGCCGUAAAACGCAGGCCUUUUU
rnacentral:sRNA from 1 species